UGGCUACCAACAAACCUAAUCUAGAGACAGAGAAUGUCAAGUGGAGAGGAGUAAGGAGACAGAGACAGAGAGAGAGAGAGAGAGAGAGAGAGAGAGAGAGAGAGAGAGAGAGAGAGAGAGAGAGAGAGAGAGAGAGAGAGAGAGAGAGAGAGAGAAAGUGAGGGGAAGAGACAAGAGAGUGAUAGGAAAAGAGACAGAAAGAGAGAAAUAGAGGCACACACACACAGAGACAGGGAGCAGACAGAGUGGGAAGGAUCUGGGCAGACAGAGACAGAGAGAGACAUGUGUAGAAAGACACAGAGAGGCAGACAGGGAGACAGAUAGCUUGUAGAUCCUUCCUCUGGGACAUCAGAUCAAGGUCCACCAGACUAGUAGCAGGAUGUGGCAACUUCCUCAGUCCGGUCGUGUGUGUGUGUGUGUGUGUGUGUGUGUGUGUGUGUGUGUGUGUGUGUGUGUGUGUGUGUGAUUGGCGUGUCUGCCAUAAUGAGUUGACUGGUUAAAGCUGUAGUCUGCAGCCUACUGGACUGACAACAGGAGGGAGAGUGACGUUGAAACAAAGAACACAGCUUCCCCCCACACAGAAGUGGGUAUGUAUGCAUGUACGCGUCUGUAUGGUACAUUCACAACCUGCAUGCGUGGUGCGUGUGCACAUAGCGGGGGGUAAGGUGAGCGCAGUGAUCUCAUUCAUAAUGCAGCUGGGUCUCAGAGGCUGCUGAGAGUGCAGGGGAAGGAAAGAACGCUCUCUCGGGUGUCCGAUAAAUCCAACCGUCCACAGACUGUGGACAGCUGAGCCGCCUUACACCGCGCCCCGCGCAGUAAUUCCACCCCGGGACAGAGCCCGCCGCCGGCUGCGGAGGAGGAGGAGGAGGAGGUGGAGGUGGGGCCGGAGCGGUGGUGGAGGUGGAGGUGGUAGUGGAGGUGGUGGAGAUGGUGGAGGUGGGGUCGGAGCGGUGGUGGUGGUGGAGGUGAUGCUGGUGGAGGGGGUGGAGGAGGUGGGGCCGGAGCGGUGGCGGUGGUGGAGGUGGGGCAGGAGUGGUGGCGGUGGUGGAGGUGGGGCAGGAGCGGUGGUGGAGGUUGAGGGUGGUGGAGAAGGGGACGGAGCAGUUGUGGAUGUGGAGGGUGGUGGAGUAGGGGUCGGAGCCGUGGUGGAGAUGGAGGGGGUGGAGGUGGUUGGUGGUUGUAGUGGUGGAGGGGUUGGAGGGGGAGGAGUUGGUAGAGGUGGAGGAGGUGAGGCCGCACACACACAGACGCACACAGAUGAGUCCCACUCUACUGGAGCUCAGUGGUUGGCUCUGCUUUGGUUACAUCCAGCGCCAAGACUGCAGUGCGGGCAGCAGCUCUCCAAUCAGUCUGAGAGGAUGCCUCACACUGCAACCUUUUCUACAUCUCUCCGCUCCGCUGGGGGAUCUGAGCUCAGGAUUACAGAGUCUGCAUGUCUCUGAUGGGCGCUCAGGGGAAAGAGAGCCAAAGGUUUCACCCCCAUUAAUCACUGAAGUCCUCUAAUGGCCACGGAAUCCCAUGCAUAUCAUCCCCCCCCACUCCACAGGGGCCGGGGGUAAGGGGGGUCAGAGCCACGGAACUCAGUGAGGAGGAUGGAUUCAUGGAGUCAUUGUAUGGUGGACCAUAGGGGGAGCAGGAUGAAUGAAUGAAUGAAUGAACAAUGAAUGAAGAGGUAUUACGGAGGGCAUGGCAAGGAAACCAUUUUGGAAACUGAGAUGAAAGAAGGAUACAGAGAGAGAGAGAGAGAGAGAGAGAGAGAGAGAGAGAGAGAGAGAGAGAGAGAGAGAGAGAGAGAGAAGGGGGGGGAGAGAUAAUUAUCAUGAGCUGAUCCUUUAAUCUUUGCACAGGGCUUUCCUGUACGAACAUAAACCCUUCAGACAAGAUCCUGAAUUCUGAAUAAUUCUGAAUAAUACAAUUUAAUAAUGAAUUACUUUCAUUGUCUCUUCCUCUUAACAUUACUGGCUAUUUCAGCAAUUAUAACGAUAGCCCAUGACUCAUUUCCAGACAGAGGGACAGAACCACACACACACACACACACACACACACACACACACACACACACACACACACACACACACACACACACACACACACACACACACACACACACACACACACACACACACACACACACACACUAGGGCUGUCAACGAAUAUUCGAAGUUCGAAUAUUCGUUCGAAAUGUAUCCAAAAACGCGAAUUCGAACGUGAAAAUUAAUAUUCGAAUGUGAAAAAACACUCCCGCGGUACAAGCGCCUCUAUCUGCUUUGUGAAUGAGCCUCUGUCUGUUCGCGAUGUCCCUCAUAAUAUUCGAAUGUGAAAAACACUCCCCUGGUACAAGUGUAACAGACUAGUAUUGUGAAGAGCGAAUGUAUUUUAUCCCCUCUGGGUUUCCGUACUUGGAUAUAGGUAUUCCAGCUCGGCUAUGCCAUUCAAUAAGCAUCCG
ensembl:lncRNA